GACGAACGCUGGCGGCGUGCCUAAUACAUGCAAGUCGAACGAACUCUGGUAUUGAUUGGUGCUUGCAUCAUGAUUUACAUUUGAGUGAGUGGCGAACUGGUGAGUAACACGUGGGAAACCUGCCCAGAAGCGGGGGAUAACACCUGGAAACAGAUGCUAAUACCGCAUAACAACUUGGACCGCAUGGUCCGAGUUUGAAAGAUGGCUUCGGCUAUCACUUUUGGAUGGUCCCGCGGCGUAUUAGCUAGAUGGUGGGGUAACGGCUCACCAUGGCAAUGAUACGUAGCCGACCUGAGAGGGUAAUCGGCCACAUUGGGACUGAGACACGGCCCAAACUCCUACGGGAGGCAGCAGUAGGGAAUCUUCCACAAUGGACGAAAGUCUGAUGGAGCAACGCCGCGUGAGUGAAGAAGGGUUUCGGCUCGUAAAACUCUGUUGUUAAAGAAGAACAUAUCUGAGAGUAACUGUUCAGGUAUUGACGGUAUUUAACCAGAAAGCCACGGCUAACUACGUGCCAGCAGCCGCGGUAAUACGUAGGUGGCAAGCGUUGUCCGGAUUUAUUGGGCGUAAAGCGAGCGCAGGCGGUUUUUUAAGUCUGAUGUGAAAGCCUUCGGCUCAACCGAAGAAGUGCAUCGGAAACUGGGAAACUUGAGUGCAGAAGAGGACAGUGGAACUCCAUGUGUAGCGGUGAAAUGCGUAGAUAUAUGGAAGAACACCAGUGGCGAAGGCGGCUGUCUGGUCUGUAACUGACGCUGAGGCUCGAAAGUAUGGGUAGCAAACAGGAUUAGAUACCCUGGUAGUCCAUACCGUAAACGAUGAAUGCUAAGUGUUGGAGGGUUUCCGCCCUUCAGUGCUGCAGCUAACGCAUUAAGCAUUCCGCCUGGGGAGUACGGCCGCAAGGCUGAAACUCAAAGGAAUUGACGGGGGCCCGCACAAGCGGUGGAGCAUGUGGUUUAAUUCGAAGCUACGCGAAGAACCUUACCAGGUCUUGACAUACUAUGCAAAUCUAAGAGAUUAGACGUUCCCUUCGGGGACAUGGAUACAGGUGGUGCAUGGUUGUCGUCAGCUCGUGUCGUGAGAUGUUGGGUUAAGUCCCGCAACGAGCGCAACCCUUAUUAUCAGUUGCCAGCAUUAGGUUGGGCACUCUGGUGAGACUGCCGGUGACAAACCGGAGGAAGGUGGGGAUGACGUCAAAUCAUCAUGCCCCUUAUGACCUGGGCUACACACGUGCUACAAUGGAUGGUACAACGAGUUGCGAACUCGCGAGAGUAAGCUAAUCUCUUAAAGCCAUUCUCAGUUCGGAUUGUAGGCUGCAACUCGCCUACAUGAAGUCGGAAUCGCUAGUAAUCGCGGAUCAGCAUGCCGCGGUGAAUACGUUCCCGGGCCUUGUACACACCGCCCGUCACACCAUGAGAGUUUGUAACACCCAAAGUCGGUGGGGUAACCUUUUAGGAACCAGCCGCCUAAGGUGGGACAGAUGAUUAGGGUG
rnacentral:rRNA from 1 species